ACAGGGAUUGCCCUAGUAACGGCGAGUGAAGCGGCAACAGCUCAAAUUUGAAAUCUGGCGUCUUUGGCGUCCGAGUUGUAAUUUGCAGAGGGCGCUUUGGCAUUGGCAGCGGUCCAAGUUCCUUGGAACAGGACGUCACAGAGGGUGAGAAUCCCGUACGUGGUCGCUAGCCUUUACCGUGUAAAGCCCCUUCGACGAGUCGAGUUGUUUGGGAAUGCAGCUCUAAAUGGGAGGUAAAUUUCUUCUAAAGCUAAAUACUGGCCAGAGACCGAUAGCGCACAAGUAGAGUGAUCGAAAGAUGAAAAGCACUUUGGAAAGAGAGUUAAAAAGCACGUGAAAUUGUUGAAAGGGAAGCGCUUGCAGCCAGACUUGCCUGUAGUUGCUCAUCUAGGUUUCUACCUAGUGCACUCUUCUAUAGGCAGGCCAGCAUCAGUUUGGGCGGUUGGAUAAAGGUCUCUGUCAUGUACCUCUCUUCGGGGAGAACUUAUAGGGGAGACGACAUGCAACCAGCCUGGACUGAGGUCCGCGCAUCUGCUAGGAUGCUGGCGUAAUGGCUGUAAGCGGCCCGUCUUGAAACACGGACCAAGGAGUCUAACAUCUAUGCGAGUGUUUGGGUGUCAAGCCCGAGCGCGUAAUGAAAGUGAACGGAGGUGGGAACCUUUCGGGGUGCACCAUCGACCGAUCCUGAUGUCUUCGGAUGGAUUUGAGUAAGAGCAUAGCUGUUGGGACCCGAAAGAUGGUGAACUAUGCUUGAAUAGGGUGAAGCCAGAGGAAACUCUGGUGGAGGCUCGCAGCGGUUCUGACGUGCAAAUCGAUCGUCAAAUUUGGGCAUAGGGGCGAAAGACUAAUCGAACUAUCUAGUAGCUGGUUCCUGCCGAAGUUUCCCUCAGGAUAGCAGUAACGUUUUCAGUUUUAUGAGGUAAAGCGAAUGAUUAGAGGCCUGGGGGUUGAAACAACCUU
rnacentral:rRNA from 6 species